UACGGGAGGCAGCAGUGGGGAAUCUUGCACAAUGGAGGAAACUCUGAUGCAGCGAUGCCGCGUGAGUGAAGAAGGCCCCUGGGUUGUAAAGCUCCUUCGUCGGGGAAGAAAAUGACUGUACCCGAAUAAGAAGGUCCGGCUAACUUCGUGCCAGCAGCCGCGGUAAUACU
rnacentral:rRNA from 1 species